CGCUAUCGUGGCAUCUCAUGUACCGGUACCGUAGCUUUGAUUGCUUUCAGUGAAGGCCAUUAACCCAAUUCUAUAAGUUCCGACCUGAAGUCGCUGCGAGGACCGUCACGACGAGUGCAUAACUCUCGCUCUGAUUUGAGCAGGGACCGUUCGCUUCAUGUAUUCAGACAGUUGAAGGGGAUUCUAGUUGUCGACCCUCUUCGAAUCUCCAAUCAAGGACAGACGAAUCCGACCUCACAGUGGAGAUCCAGCUCGAUCUACAGCACACGUCGCUGAACCAAAACUGUAAGUAUCACUCAAGGCUGCAGAACCCCCCGCAGCACACUCCAGGAAGAAGUUUUCAAAGGAUUGUGUGCUGUUGAUUUGGUGUAGAGGAGCUGCUGCUGCAGCAGCAGCAGCGAUCAUGUUGAGCGUGGUGGAGUUUGUGUCCUCGGCCGUCGAGGAGUUUUCUUCGCAUGUCGCAAAGCAUUUGAUUGGCUGCCUCGGUAUCUCCGUCGUCGAGGGAUACUAUGAUCUAGCAAAAGAUUGCGAAGCGGUUAGAUCUCCACAAUUGCUGAUACAAGAGCAGAUUUGAAGGAAGUGUGUGCACUAAAACGGUGUCAAAAUUGAAGCUUUGGUUUGCGACUUCACAGCUUGUUCAUGAAUGUUUAGUUAUUGUAGGUCAAACGUAGAGGUGUGAUGGGGAUUGUGCACUUACUUGUUAUUCCAAUGGUGGAGUGGAUUUAAAAAGAUAAUUGGCUAAUUUUUAUUUUUACUUUUAUUUUA